GAGGUCUCAAGCGUUGUUCGGAUUCAUUGGGCGUAAAGGGUGCGUAGGCGGCGCGGUAAGUCGGGUGUGAAAUCUCGGAGCUUAACUCCGAAACUGCAUUCGAUACUGCCGUGCUUGAGGACUGGAGAGGAGACUGGAAUUUACGGUGUAGCGGUGAAAUGCGUAGAUAUCGUAAGGAAGACCAGUGGCGAAGGCGGGUCUCUGGACAGUUCCUGACGCUGAGGCGCGAAAGCUGGGGGAGCAAACAGG
rnacentral:rRNA from 1 species